AGUUGACUCCGGGGUUCGUAUAGGCAGGGAGCACAGGCGUAAGGCUGAGAUCGGCUUCCCUAGAGCCUUUCAAACUGGAUGGACCUGCACUUGUUGCUUAAAUGUCUUGAGGCCUGUGUUUCCACAUCUGGGAAAUGGGGAAAUUGUGGUGUUUGCUGUGAAGCUUCCUCAUUGGCUGAUGAACUCAUCUGGUGUUCCUAAGACCAACACCUUCAGUCCCAUUUCACAAAGUCCAAAUCACAAAGGAGGAAACUAUUUAUUUGAUGAAUGCUGUAUUGAAGGACCCUGAAUGCUGAGAGGAGGAAGGGGGGUAGUGACCCAGCUUUACUCUGGGAUAUGGGUUCCUCUCUAAGGAGGCUCUUCUUCCCUUUAUACCUCACGAUGGUCCAAAGAAGACCAGAUACAGAAGAAAAAGAUUCAAGGAGAAGGCCUCUGUAAGACACAGUCAAAGUGCUAUUUAAGGAUAAGCCCGUAAUCAAAUGCUCCAUACCAUCUGUUUGAGAGUUUUUUGAGACUGGGAUCACUGUCUGGAACCACAGGCCGCCCUCUGAAGGCUGGAGAGGUGGUGACAGCUGAACAAAUGAUGGCGCUACGAGUCCAUGGGUUAGGUUACCUGGGCAUGGGAAUCCCCAUAUAGCCAAUGCCUUCUCGGGUAUUAAGUGUCAGAUAAACACAGCUCCUCAACUGCUA
rnacentral:lncRNA from 1 species